rnacentral:tRNA from 1 species
CAAAAUAAAGCUAAAUAGUUAGUACCCCACUUACACUGGGUUCAGAAUCGUGCAAUUCGGUUUGUUUUGA